rnacentral:tRNA from 2 species
CGCGGGGUAGAGCAGUUUGGUAGCUCGUCGGGCUCAUAACCCGGAGGUCAGUGGUUCAAAUCCACUCCCCGCAACCA